rnacentral:rRNA from 1 species
GAUGAACGCUGGCGGCGUGCCUAAUACAUGCAAGUCGAGCGAACAGACGAGGAGCUUGCUCCUCUGACGUUAGCGGCGGACGGGUGAGUAACACGUGGAUAACCUACCUAUAAUACUGGGAUAACUUCGGGAAACCGGAGCUAAUACCGGAUAAUAUAUUGAACCGCAUGGUUCAAUAGUGAAAGACGGUUUUGCUGUCACUUAUAGAUGGAUCCGCGCCGCAUUAGCUAGUUGGUAAGGUAACGGCUUACCAAGGCAACGAUUCGUAGCCGACCUGAGAGGGUGAUCGGAGACACUGGAACUGAGACGCGGUCAAGAGUACUACGGGAGGCAGCAGUAGGGAAUAUUCCGCAAUGGGCGAAAGCCUGACGGAGCAACGCCGCGUGAGUGAUGAAGGUCUUCGGAUCGUAAAACUCUGUUAUUAGGGAAGAAAAAAUGUGAAAGUAAAUAUGCACGUAUUGACGGUAACUAAUCAGAAAGCAACGGCUAACUACGUG